UGCAGUCGAACGGCAGCACGGGAGCAAUCCUGGUGGCGAGUGGCGAACGGGUGAGUAAUGCAUCGGAACGUACCAUUGAGUGGGGGAUAACGUAGCGAAAGUUACGCUAAUACCGCAUAUUCUCUCCGGAGGAAAGCAGGGGACCGCAAGGCCUUGCGCUCUUUGAGCGGCUGAUGUCAGAUUAGCUAGUUGGUGGGGUAAAGGCCCACCAAGGCGACGAUCUGUAGCGGGUCUGAGAGGAUGAUCCGCCACACUGGAACUGAGACACGGUCCAGACUCCUACGGGAGGCAGCAGUGGGGAAUUUUGGACAAUGGGCGCAAGCCUGAUCCAGCCAUGCCGCGUGAGUGAAGAAGGCCUUCGGGUUGUAAAGCUCUUUCGGCCGGGACGAAAUCGCAUGGGCUAAUACCCUGUGUGGAUGACUGUACCGGAAUAAGAAGCACCGGCUAACUACGUGCCAGCAGCCGCGGUAAUACGUAGGGUGCGAGCGUUAAUCGGAAUUACUGGGCGUAAAGCGUGCGCAGGCGGUUUUGUAAGACAGGCGUGAAAUCCCCGGGCUCAACCUGGGAACUGCGCUUGUGACUGCAAGGCUAGAGUAUGGCAGAGGGGGGUGGAAUUCCACGUGUAGCAGUGAAAUGCGUAGAGAUGUGGAGGAACACCGAUGGCGAA
rnacentral:rRNA from 1 species